GCAUGCGCGCGGCGACCUGUGCGCUCGGGUUCUGUGCCGGCUUUUACCCCAGCUGAAUAACCUGGUGGUCACAAGAAAGCAAAGGGAUUUUUAUGUGACAUCAUCUUGGCAAGAAGCUCCCUUACCAACCUUGACCUCCAGGUCUCCAUGGCAACUGCUGCUGGGACAUCAUUGGCACCAGAUUGUGUCCCUUAAAGGCCACACUGCAGCAAGGGCAGAUAAACAAUUUCAUGGCAA
rnacentral:lncRNA from 1 species